rnacentral:rRNA from 1 species
CCUACGGGAGGCUGCAGUAGGGAAUAUUGCUCAAUGGGGGAAACCCUGAAGCAGCAACGCCGCGUGGAGGAUGAAGGUUUUCGGAUUGUAAACUCCUUUUGUUAGAGAAGAGAAUGACGGUAUCUAACGAAUAAGCACCGGCUAACUCCGUGCCAGCAGCCGCGGUAAUACGGAGGGUGCAAGCGUUACUCGGAAUCACUGGGCGUAAAGAGCGCGUAGGCGGGAUAGCAAGUCAGAUGUGAAAUCCUAGGGCUUAACCAUAGAACUGCAUUUGAAACUGUUAUUCUAGAGUAUGGGAGAGGUAGGUGGAAUUCUUGGUGUAGGGGUCAAAUCCGUAGAGAUCACGAGGAAUACUCAUUGCGAAGGCGACCUGCUAGAACAUAACUGACGCUGAUGCGCGACAGCGUGGGGAGCAAACAGGAUUAGAUACCCCGGUAGUC